rnacentral:rRNA from 1 species
UACGUAGGGGGCAAGCGUUGUCCGGAAUCAUUGGGCGUAAAGCGCGCGUAGGCGGCCAGAUAAGUCCGGUGUGAAAGUCACAGGCUCAACCUGUGAAUGCCGCUGGAAACUGUCUGGCUUGAGUCCGGAAGGGGCGAGUGGAAUUCCUGGUGUAGCGGUGAAAUGCGCAGAUAUCAGGAGGAACACCAAUGGCGAAGGCAGCUCGCUGGAACGGUACCGACGCUGAGGCGCGAAAGCGUGGGGAGCGAACAGG